rnacentral:rRNA from 1 species
AUGGAUAAAUCCAGAAAGAAACAAGAAGAAAAGGAAUUUGAGGCGGCCAUGCUUGCAUUUGCUCUGGAUGUGGCGUCGUCAAGUGUGACACUGCCGUACGCACCAAGAAAGUUACAUCUUGUUACAAGCCUCCAAUGGGUAGAAGAGAAGGAGAAAGAUGCAAAAUCUUUCUAUGCUAUGUUCAGAAUGAGGAGGUCAGUGUUUCAUACAUUGCAUGAUCUGUUAGUUCAGAAGUAUGGGCUUGAGUCAACUUCCAACAUUUCAUCCAAAGAAGCAUUGGCACAAUUUUUAUGGACUGUUGGUACAUGUCAGACAACUGAUAAUGUCGCAGAUCGGUUUGCACAUAGUCGUUCUGUCAUAAAUAAAAAAUUCCACGAGGUUUUGGAGUGUGUAGACCGCAUGGCCGGUGAUUACAUAAGACCAAUUGAUCCAACUUUCUCUGAACCACACCCAGUACUUAGAAAAACAAAGUUUUGGCCUCACUUUCAACAUGCUAUUGGAGUCAUUGAUGGAACACACAUUAAGGUGAUUGUGCCAAAGGAGUUGGAGCCCCAACACAGGAAUAGGAAAGGUUACACAAGUGAAAAUGUUAUGGCAGUGUGUGAUUUUGAUAUGAGGUUCACGUUUGUUGUUCCCGGAUGGCCCGGAUCUGUUCAUGACACACGUGUAUGGAGCGAUGCCAUAGUUCGUUAUGAUCACUUUCCACAACCCCCCACAGAUAAAUAUUAUCUUGUCGACUCCGGAUAUCCAAACAGGGUUGGAUAUCUAUCUCCAUACAAAGGGCAAUGA